rnacentral:rRNA from 1 species
CCCUUAGAUGUCCUGGGCCGCACGCGCGCUACACUGACAUGUUCAACAAGUUUCUCCUAGUUCGACAGGACUGGGAAAUCUUUGAACGCAUGUCGUGAUAGGGAUAGAUCAUUGCAAUUAUUGAUCUUGAACGAGGAAUUCCUAGUAAACGCGAGUCAUCAGCUCGCAUUGAUUACGUCCCUGCCCUUUGUACACACCGCCCGUCGCACCUACCGAUUGAAUGUUUCGGUGAAGAUUCCGGAUAGGACUGAUUUGAUUUAUUUCAUUUCUGACCUAAAAGCUAUCUAAACCUCAACAUUUAGAGGAAGGAGAAGUCGUAACA